CUGAGAAACCCAAAAGAUCGAAUGGGGAGAUUCAUCGUCAGCUCAUUUUGUAUAUGUAUAAGUUACGAUGCGGGUUACUACUUGUAGUAUUGCCUGCACGUUCUUGUAUAUUUAGUUGCAAGAUGUUGUCGGCGUGCACUUCUUCCCUAGUAGGACGUCGCGACCCGUUGGGUGUCGGUCUACGGCCCAAGUGAUAGCCUUUAAUGUAAUUUAAAAAUCAUUGAAGAUCCUUGGUGUUUUCUGACCGGCUACUCGGCGGUACACGUACGGUAUUUAGCCGCUAAUUUAUUAGCGUCCAUGUCCGUCACAAGCGAGGCCAAUUUACUGAUAGUGCGGANCUAGCGCCGUCGUUGGUAUUGGCCAGCUGUUGGUUGUACGUGAUUCUGGGACUGGCUAANAUUAAUUACCGGUCGGCGAUGCUACUGCUUUGGGUACUUUCAGG
rnacentral:rRNA from 1 species